rnacentral:rRNA from 1 species
AGAGUUUGAUCCUGGCUCAGGAUGAACGCUGGCGGCGUGCUUAACACAUGCAAGUCGAACGGGAAACCUUUUAUUGAAGCUUCGGCAGAUUUAGAUUGUUUCUAGUGGCGGACGGGUGAGUAACGCGUGGGUAACCUGCCUUAUACAGGGGGAUAACAGUCAGAAAUGGCUGCUAAUACCGCAUAAGCGCACAGAGCUGCAUGGCUCAGUGUGAAAAACUCCGGUGGUAUAAGAUGGACCCGCGUUGGAUUAGCUGGUUGGUGGGGUAACGGCCCACCAAGGCGACGAUCCAUAGCCGGCCUGAGAGGGUGAACGGCCACAUUGGGACUGAGACACGGCCCAGACUCCUACGGGAGGCAGCAGUGGGGAAUAUUGCACAAUGGGGGAAACCCUGAUGCAGCGACGCCGCGUGGAGGAAGAAGGUCUUCGGAUUGUAAACUCCUGUUGUUGAGGAAGAUAAUGACGGUACUCAACAAGGAAGUGACGGCUAACUACGUGCCAGCAGCCGCGGUAAAACGUAGGUCACAAGCGUUGUCCGGAAUUACUGGGUGUAAAGGGAGCGCAGGCGGGAGAACAAGUUGGAAGUGAAAUCCAUGGGCUCAACCCAUGAACUGCUUUCAAAACUGUUUUUCUUGAGUAGUGCAGAGGUAGGCGGAAUUCCCGGUGUAGCGGUGGAAUGCGUAGAUAUCGGGAGGAACACCAGUGGCGAAGGCGGCCUACUGGGCACCAACUGACGCUGAGGCUCGAAAGUGUGGGUAGCAAACAGGAUUAGAUACCCUGGUAGUCCACACCGUAAACGAUGAUUACUAGGUGUUGGAGGAUUGACCCCUUCAGUGCCGCAGUUAACACAAUAAGUAAUCCACCUGGGGAGUACGACCGCAAGGUUGAAACUCAAAGGAAUUGACGGGGGCCCGCACAAGCAGUGGAGUAUGUGGUUUAAUUCGACGCAACGCGAAGAACCUUACCAAGUCUUGACAUCCCUUGACGAACAUAGAAAUAUGUUUUCUCUUCGGAGCAAGGAGACAGGUGGUGCAUGGUUGUCGUCAGCUCGUGUCGUGAGAUGUUGGGUUAAGUCCCGCAACGAGCGCAACCCUUAUGGUCAGUUACUACGCAAGAGGACUCUGGCCAGACUGCCGUUGACAAAACGGAGGAAGGUGGGGAUGACGUCAAAUCAUCAUGCCCUUUAUGACUUGGGCUACACACGUACUACAAUGGCGUUAAACAAAGAGAAGCAAGACCGCGAGGUGGAGCAAAACUCAGAAACAACGUCCCAGUUCGGACUGCAGGCUGCAACUCGCCUGCACGAAGUCGGAAUUGCUAGUAAUCGUGGAUCAGCAUGCCACGGUGAAUACGUUCCCGGGCCUUGUACACACCGCCCGUCACACCAUGAGAGCCGGGGGGACCCGAAGUCGGUAGUCUAACCGCAAGGAGGACGCCGCCGAAGGUAAAACUGGUGAUUGGGGUGAAGUCGUAACAAGGUAGCCGUAGGAGAACCUGCGGCUG